UUUAUUUUCAGGUCGAAAAGUUAAACACAUUGGGGUACAAGGCCAUAGUCUUCAUUGGAAAGAAAACAAAGAAGCAGAAAACCUGGUCCGCACAAGUCCUCCAGCCAAAAUGGCAGCUGUCAGACCAUUCUGAAAAAUGCCUUGACAGGAUGAAGGCCCUCUAUGAACUGUUAAUUAAUGGUAAGUGUGUGCGAUUAUUUAAAAUCUUACUCCACAGUCAACAUAAAAAUAAAUGUGACAGCAGUUACAGUUGGGGAUUUUCUUGGUACCGCUGUCACAGGGCAAACCACAGUGGGCCAAAAAUAGCUAUUCAUCUGUUGCUUCAUCAAAUUUGGUCUUUGCUUUAUCCAAUAGGUGUUUCUUUUAGAGCUGCGACAAUUAAUUGAUAUUUGAGAUUAUUAAUCAAUUAUACAAUUAAUCACCAACAAUUUUGAUAAUUGUUUAAUAAAAACAUUCUCUGCUUUCAGAGUCUUACAUAUGAAUAUAUAUAUAUAUAUAUAUAUAUAUAUAUAUAUAUAUAUAUAUAUAUAUAUAUAUAUAUAAAAUCUUUGACUUUGGGAAACACUGGUCAGCCUUUUUUUUUUUCUGAUGGUUUAUGGACCAAACAACUAAUCGAUUCAUUGAAAAAAAAAAAUAGCCGACAGAUUAUGAAAAUAACCGUUGUUUGCAGACAUAGUUUCUUUUACUAGUCAGUGAGCCACAUAGCUCACUGAUUGUCUGCCAUACAUAGCAAAAGAGUCAACAGCAAGAGGCAUUGCUCAAUUCAACUUCAAAAAACUAUAAACACAUAUCUCCACUUCACAUGAGAUAAUGAGAUCCUACAAUUUGCACCAGAGUACAAAAUCAGCCUCGCCUCAGUUCUACAGAGAGCAUAGAGUCCAUAGGGCAGCAUUUAUAGACAGAAGAAUACAAAAGACAAAUGUACUGGACGUUUCCUUAUGGAGCACAGUCCCUGCUAGAAAAAAGGGGACAUUUGUUCUUAUUACAGGAGGUGAAUAAUUUCCUCUUUUUGUACCAUUUAGGUUGUACUAACCAGCAGCCCGCCACCAGUCCUCCUCCCAUCCAGUCCACCAUCCAUCCCAUCACCAGUCCAUCUCCCAUCCAUCCCAUCACCAGUCCUCCUCCCAUCCAGUCCAUCACCAGUCCUCCUCCCAUCCAGCCCGCCACCAGUCCUCCUCCCAUCCAGUCUAUCACCAGUCCUCCUCCCAUCCAGUCCAUCACCAGUCCUCCUCCCAUCCAGUCCAUCACCAGUCCUCCUCCCAUCCAGUCCAUCACCAGUCCUCCUCCCAUCCAGCCCAUCACCAGUCCUCCUCCCAUCCAGUCCACCAUCCAACUCACCACCAGUCCUCCCAUCCUACCCAUCACAGAACCACCUCAGCAGAAACGCAAUAUGUCUGCAAACAAUAAAAAGAAGCAGAAGAAUUCUGCAGCCUCAGACAUGUCUACAAGGAAGAAACUGAGGGGGAAAAAAUCACCCAAAGAAUGUAACCAUGGGAUCCUAGAAGGGGAACCUUACUACCCAGUGAAGAGGGUGAUCCGCUGCAAAAUGCAGAAGGUUAGCUUUACAAUAAUUAAAAGUCUUAGAUGUACUCAGUGGAACUGCAGCACCCCAACUGGAAACCCCUUAACCCCCUAACUUUGAUGUUUUUUCAGGGGAUCCAAAUGAAGUUGGUGGAAUGGGAGCCCUGUUCACUCUGGUAUGUACAAUUUAUCAUAGUUUUGAUUGGAAUAGCCUAAUUCUUAGUACUUCAAAACUUAAAGUAAUAGCCUUGGCUUGUAUUUGUGGGCGGCUGUGGCUCAGUGUGUCGAAGUGUCCUUGGGCACACUUCGAGAGAGUUUCACAUCUAAUGCUGGCUAUUUCACAUGCAAGCAUGUCAGCCAAUUAAAUAAUCCAUGCCAUGGGACCUUUAAGGCAGAUAAACCUGACUGCCAUAAUUGAGAGACAUAUGUUGGUCAUAAGAACCAAUUUAUUCUGAGCAAAAGGGGAGGUCUUUCAUGACCAUAUUUUCAAGACUAAUAUUGUGCAGCAAAUUUUCAAGACUAAUAUUGUGCAGCAAAUAGGUAAUGCAUAUUCAAACCUUAACCAAAAUAUUACCAUAGGCAGGUAAUUUACUGUUACCAGGUAACUGUAAGUUUAUAAACCUACUGAAUGAAGGGGUGGCUUGCUGUUCCUCAUUGCCCUUAACCUUGUCAUGUUUGUUUUGAAUUUAAUUCAUGGCUGAUGUAAAGACCUAAAUUAAUAACAAUCUCUUUUUAUUACAGUGGGAAAACUUGGCCGCCACAGUGGGUGACGGAGGAGAACACCACAAAUUAAGGAAAUGUUCAAUCCCAUUGUUUUGUUCCAUAAGUUAUGUGUAUGUUGUUUACAGUAUAUUAAAAAAAAUUCAAAAGCCUGAAAGACUCCCACUUUGUAGCAAACCAGAGAACACAUGCUGUGUUUACAAAAGCUUGACAGAUCAUCUCUCUCCUUCACACAUAGAUGAUAGAUAGAUAGAUAGAUAUUGCAUACUUCAAAUAAUAUAAAUACAAUUAAUUCACCUCCAUGCAGAGAAAAACUUGAUAAUACACCAGAAAUAAGUUAUUACCACUGAUCUAUAAUAUAGAUCAGUGGUUAUUACUAAGACCAGACACGUGGUGGCAGCACUGAAUAUGUCAUGAGAAACGUCAUCACAUCAGUGGAACACUGCCUGGAUAUUUAAAAUAACUAAAAGUAACUAAAUAACUGGAUAACUAAAAGUACUUCUUCUUUUUCGUAACUCGUCACUUUGUCAACAUUAGUUUCUCCCGCUGCCACGGAUUAAUGUGUGUGUGUGUGUGUGUGUGUGUGUGUGUGUGUGUGUGUGUGUGUGUGCGUGCGUGCGUGCGUGCGUGUGUGAGAGAGUGAUUGAUUAAUGUGUUGAUCAGCAAAUCAACCUCAGACGCAACGCAUAUAGUGGGCAGGGGUUUGAUCCGUCAGACGGAGCGAAAUCGCGAGGAAGAGUAUGUGGAAUCUGGGGCCACAGCUAUGGUAGGCGAUAGCAGCGUCCAUAGCAACCAAAACGUUGCAGUUUCACGUUACUCUGGCGAGAUCUGAAAAAUCUUCGCAACAACGAGCAAGCGAAUGAUUAUAUAAAUUCACUGAGUGAAUAUUAUGAAAAUAAAAUAUAUAUUUCUCGCUAGAAAUGUAAUCAAAACUUAUUUUUAUGCAGAAACUAACUCAAAAUAUAGAUUUUUUCACUUAAAAUGAGAGAAAUGUCCGCCAUGUUUUUUGUUCUCACGGUCGGAAUCUUGAAAGUCACGUGACUUGGACGCAAAACAAUAGGAAAAGAAUAGGCAAAAAAAACGUAACAGUCAUACAAUUCAAGGGCCAUUAUUGUAACCCCUCUACGUUUUUCACUUUGGACCAACGUAGUCAGGGUACGUUUUUAUAUGAGACUGGGUUGAUCUGACCCAUUAUAUUCAGACAUUACCCAAACAGAGAUUAUGUAGAACAGCGAAAGCACAAUGAUAUAAAUGGC
ensembl:lncRNA